GAUGAACGCUGGCGGCAUGCUUAACACAUGCAAGUCUUUGGCGAAGCUGUGCUUGCACAGCCUAGCCCAGGCGGACAGGGGAGGAACGAGUAGGGAACUUGCCCUGCUGUACGGGGGAACAGACGGAAGAGACUGAUACGAACAGGGAAAGGGAGGUGGAGUCAUGUGGAGGCGGAUGGAAAGAGAUGCUGCAGGAGAGCCUUGCGUCCUAUUAGCUUGUUGGUGGGGUAACGGCCCACCAAGGCGAUGAUAGGUAGCCGGCCUGAGAGGGUGGACGGCCACAAGGGGACUGAGAUACGGCCCUUACUCCUACGGGAGGCAGCAGUGGGGAAUAUUGGACAAUGGGGGCAACCCUGAUCCAGCAAUUCUGUGUGCACGAUGAAGGUUUUCGGAUUGUAAAGUGCUUUCAGCAGGGAAGAAAAAAAUGACGGUACCUGCAGAAGAAGCGACGGCUAAAUACGUG
rnacentral:rRNA from 1 species